AAAUUGAAGAGUUUGAUCAUGGCUCAGAUUGAACGCUGGCGGCAGGCCUAACACAUGCAAGUCGAACGGUAGCACAGAGAGCUUGCUCUCGGGUGACGAGUGGCGGACGGGUGAGUAAUGUCUGGGAAACUGCCUGAUGGAGGGGGAUAACUACUGGAAACGGUAGCUAAUACCGCAUAACGUCGCAAGACCAAAGAGGGGGACCUUCGGGCCUCUUGCC
rnacentral:rRNA from 2 species